UACGUGGGGGGCAAGCGUUGUCCGGAUUUAUUGGGCGUAAAGCGCACGCAGGCGGUCUUUCGCGUUUUGAGUGAUAGGUGGGGGCUUAACUCCCACAGGCCUCAGAAGACGGGAAGACUUGAGGGCUUCAGAGGGACGCGGAAUUCCAGGUGGAGCGGUGAAAUGCGUAGAGAUCUGGAAGAACACCAAAGGCGAAGGCAGCGUCCUGGGAAGCAUCUGACGCUCAGGUGCGAAAGCUAGGGGAGCGAACGGG
rnacentral:rRNA from 1 species